rnacentral:rRNA from 1 species
UACAGAGGUCCCGAGCGUUGUUCGGAAUUACUGGGCGUAAAGGGUGCGUAGGCUGCGCAGAAAGUCAGAUGUGAAAUCCGGGGGCUCAACCUCCGAAUUGCAUCCGAUACUCCUGUGCUAGAGGAUUGGAGAGGAGCUUGGAAUUCUCGGUGUAGCAGUGAAAGUGCGUAGAGAUCGAGAGGAACACUAGUGGCGAAGGCUGGGCUCUGGACAAUAUCUG